rnacentral:lncRNA from 1 species
GCUUGCGGCGCGCGACAAAUGACAAAGGAAUGGGGCGAGCUUAAUGCAAAUUGACAUUUGGAAGCAUUAUUGGUGCAUUCUACACGCCGUUUUGGGCUGCCUAUGAUUUACCAUGAAAAAACGUUUAUAAUAUACAAUUCGAACCUACGACCUUUGGAAUACUAGCCCAAUGCUCUGCCAACUGAGCUACGCGGUCUGGUCGGUUCGAGUAUGUGAUAUUUCGGAACAGAAUCUAGUUCGUUCGAUAUCAAUGUUAUCUAAUAAUAAAAAUAUCACAUACUCGAACCGACCAGACCGCGUAGCUCAGUUGGCAGAGCAUCGGGCUAGUAUUCCAGCCCGGUGUGGAUAGAGUAACAUCACAAGCAUCAUAUUCACCUGAGUACAUUACACCAACACAGAAAAAUCAUGAAUAUACAAUUGUUGACAAAACCCUUCUGGCGGUAAAGCCCAGGGCAAACUAGGAAACAUUGUUUCCUACCAAUGUUUCGCCAUGUUUCCCAGAGUGGGCAAACACUAGGAAACAUUAGUGAGAAACAUAGGGAAACAUCAAAUGUUUCUGAAUUUGGUAGGAAACAUUUUUGCUUCGCAGGAAGCACAUUUCCGCAACAAUGUUUCCAUAUGUGGGCAAACAUGGAAACAUUUGAGAAAACAUCGAGAAUCACAAAUGUUUCCGCAACAAUGUUUCCUAGUUUGCCCAGGGCUUAAGGCACCUGAUACUCUCUUAACGUUAACGAUGUUAUGUUAUGUUAUGUUAUGUUAUGUUAUGUUAUGUUAUGGUAUUGUAUCAUAACUAGAAUGUGCAAUAAACCAGCACUUGUGGUGUCGUGAUCACCACGCUUCCCUUUCAAGCUGCGAGACCCGGGGUUCAACCUUUGGUCGGACCUCUACUCAAGGUCUUAAAAUAAUUGAGAAGAAAGUGCUACCUUUACACAGUGAGCUCCAUAUAUAUCUGGCUAUUCUGAAUCUUACAACAAUAACAACAACAAUAGUUUAUUUACCCUUUUAAGUUUAUAAAUACAAAUUAUACUAAAUAUAUUAUAUGUAAAUUGAACGAAAAUGCGAAGGAUAAUGGCUUCUUGAAAUAACCAUAAAAGCUAAAAAUGCCAAGAAGCCAUUUUCGAUGAUGCAGAUAUUAUAAUAAUAAUUUGGAAUCAUUGAAUUUCAAGUUGCCCGAACAUAUUUUGUCAAUGAUUGAUUGGAUAACUCAGUACAGUAUCUAUAAUAAAGUACGAUACUGUAUAGUACAAAACAGUAUAGUGCAGUAAACAGUCCUUGGAAUGUACUACAUUUUAGAAUUUUGGACCACUCUAUUGCAUUGGGGUUUGCUGUGAAUUGCUGAUAAGACGAGUAUAGCACGUUCACUAUUAGAGGUGUGCAUCGGAUUGGACGUUUAUAAUCCGACAAUUGGCUAAUGUUUAAAAUCCGAUCCGAAAUUGUCUAAUCCGAAUCCAGUCCGAUCCGAGUUUUGAUAAAGAAUUCCGAUCCGAAGAAUUCCUUAAUAAAAUAAAUUUCUCAUUCAAGUUGGAAUAUUUAACCAAAUAAAUAUAAAAGCAAGAAAUACAUGUCAAGAAGCUGACAAAGUGACGUCCAAUUGAAGUAUCAAACGAAUAAUGCAGAGACAACUGCGAUAAUGCUUUCAUAAAUGCAUGGUAAUUAAUUCUUGCGAUAAUGCGUGGAUAAUUAAUUCAUUUUAUUUUGGAUAUCGAAGUCCGAUCCGACUACGAAACAACUUUAUCUAUCCGAUCCGAAAUAAAUAUUUUGGUUCCGAAAUCCGAACGAAUCCGAUCGGAUCGGAUCGGUUUCGGAAAAUGCAACUGAUGUAAAUGUAACAGAACAGUGCAGUUCAGUUCAGUUAUGUAUACUGUACUUUUUUAUGCAUGAUUUAUUUUAGGAAACUUACUAUAAUCUAACAUAAAAUUGCAUCUUAUUUUAAGGGAUUGGAAGCUUCAAUUGCUGGCUUGAAAAUUGUUUGAAGUUCAUAAAUCAAGGACAUAUUAAUCAACGAAUUGAAAAGACGUUAACAGCUUUUACGUCUUAAAUAGUGUUACCUUUACUAUAUUUGAAAUUUUUCAUUAAAAAGCUUUUCUAACUUUCGAGAGUGUAUAUGUAUGCGAUUCUAUAGCUAAUUUUUCUG